AUUUAGUUUUUGAAAUUAACCGAGCGCGGUCAGAACCUAGUUCUCUCUCAGUCAGGAGUAGUUGGUAAAAAGAUAAAUUUCAGAUUUCUUAGGAAUAUCGCGUUACGUUGCUGAUUCUAUUUUCGUUUGAGAGAAUACAAAUUGGUUGGUUGAUACGAUCUGUGAUAUCAUCGAUUCACUUUUUUCUUUGCACACCGGAAUUGCUUUGUAGGCUUNUUUUUUUUUUUUUUUUUUUUUAUAUCUCUCAGCGAUAUGUAUCCUCGCAAGCCCAGUAUCGAUGAUCAUCAGGGUUGUAUUGUUCAUAGUCUCCUCACCCCACGUCGCCCGUUUGGAGCCCUACGUCGCCGCCCGUUUUUGUUUGAAGCCAAUGAGCGUCGUCCAAGUGAUUAUGAUAAGCAGCAGCUAUCUGACUCUGACUCUGACUCUGAAUCUGAAUUUGAAUCUGAAUCUCAUACUCAGGGGAAACUGUCUGAGGCUACUCCAGCCUCCCCGCCUCAACCAAGGUAAUCUCUAUUCAGUCAGUAUUCAUCACCUGUAUAGCUCAUUUAUGUUCAUGUUUUCACCUGACUCAGACUCCACCUCCGCCACGUUUUGAAGAAGAGGACUAAGAAGAAGACUAAGAAGCCCGUCAUGAAAAAAGCAAAGCCAAAAGAAGCCUCUCUUUGUGAUGAUUAUUGACUACUUUCUCACUAGUGUACCUUCCCAAACCCACCAACAGACACAGUACCCCUAAACAUCCCCCUCUUUGGUUUCUCUUUUAUUGCAUCUCGAGCCUUAGAUGGACUUUUUAACUUAAACAGCAUAUAUAAAAUGAUUAACCAUAGUUUUCUACAUUAAACAGACACAUAAAGAAAAUUUCACAAAUCCCAAAUCCGCAUAUACAUUGCAAAACAAAAGCUACAUAAUAGAGAGAUAAGCAUAGGGAAA